rnacentral:tRNA from 1 species
GGCCGGUAGUCUAGCGGAAGGAUGCCCGCCUCGCGCGCGCGGGAGAUCCCGGGUUCGAAUCCCGGCCGGUCCACCAC